rnacentral:rRNA from 1 species
GGUGGAGUAUGUGGUUUAAUUCGACGCAACGCGCAGAACCUUACCUAGGCUUGACAUCCCGGGGAUCUCUAGGAAACUAGAGAGUGCUUCCAUUAGGAAGAGCCCGGAGACAGGUGCUGCAUGGCUGUCGUCAGCUCGUGUCGUGAGAUGUUGGGUUAAGUCCCGCAACGAGCGCAACCCUCGCCUUUAGUUGCCAGCAUUCAGUUGGGCACUCUAAAGGGACUGCCGGUGUCAAACCGGAGGAAGGUGGGGAUGACGUCAAGUCCUCAUGGCCUUUAUGUCUAGGGCUACACACGUACUACAAUGGCCGGUACAAAGGGCAGCAAGUCAGCGAUGACAAGCCAAUCCCGCAAAGCCGGUCUCAGUCCGGAUCGGAGUCUGCAACUCGACUCCGUGAAGUUGGAAUCGCUAGUAGUCGUGGAUCAGAAUGCCACGGUGAAUACGUUCCCGGGCCUUGUACACACCGCCCGUCACACCACGAGAGUCGGUUGUUCCAGAAGCGGUUGACCAACCUUCGGGAGGCAGGC